UAUCGUUUGCAGUUGCAAGUAUGCAUGUGUGAGUGUGUUGUUGUGAGCUUCUGCCAGGGAUGCAUUUAGCAGUUCACAAGAAAAGACGACCUCGCUGGUGACGUCACUAAUGAUGCGAUCACUGAAGUAAACAAGUGCUUGAAAGUGAAAACGACUUUGACUGUUGAACUGCGCAAAUGCUAAAGGGAAAUUGAAU